UACGAGUGCUCCAAGCGUUAUCCGGAAUCAUUGGGCGUAAAGGGUGUGUAGGCGGUUGUGUUAGUCUUCUGUUAAAUUCUUCGGCUUAACCGGGGGCAUGCAGGGGAAACGGCACAACUAGAGGAUGCGAGAGGUGAAUGGAACUCAUGGAGUAGGGGUGAAAUCCGUUGAUAUCAUGGGGAACACCAAAUGCGAAGGCAAUUCACUGGCGCACUCCUGACGCUGAGACACGAAAGCGUAGGUAGCGAAUGGG
rnacentral:rRNA from 1 species